AAUCAUUUAUUUUCAGGAGAUCUGUUUACAUGAUGAAUUACAUUGUCAAAGAGUAGGGAUGUAACGAUUCACGAUUUUGAUUUCACGAUUCAAUUUUCUCACAAUUUUUUUUAACAAAAUGAGAUUGAAGACUUUAUACAGUAAAUGAAAAGAUGUAGUGUUUCCUGGGUUACCGCUGUAAACAAAGCAGAGCUGCCUAAUGAACUCUACUUUAAUAUGCAUUGUUCAGAGGCAAGAUGAAAAGAAAAUACCAUGUAAACUUUUUUAAAGUUAGUCAGUUCCCCUCAGAGAUACAUUCAUAUAAACUCUCAGUCCAAUUGACCGUUUGCAAAGAGCUUGAUUGACAGGCGAUCUGACCAAUCAGAACACGGAUAUUGCUAUCCGCCAUCUUGCCCGACAAACAAAACACAACAGGCACAGUAAACUAACGUCGGUUGUUAACAUGAAAAAUGGUGAAAAGGUGCUCGUAUGGGACUUGCAACGCAGACAACAGCAGGCUGGGCAAUAUACAGUUUCACCUGUUCCCUAAACCUCACAGAAAUCCGGAGAAGUGUAUGAAAUGGAUACGUUUGUGUGGACGACUUCACCAGCAACUGAGUGUGGACAAGCUGAGAAAUCAUUCCACAGGCAAACACAUCUAUGCGUGUUCAAAGCACUUCGUUGACGGCCGGCCAACACCCGCUCACCCUGAUCCUCUGCCAGCAUUGACAUAUGACCGUAGUAACGUUACACCUGCGAAAUGUCUGCCAAAGCAUCUUUGGCAGACGACGAGUUGACAGCAAGCCAGACAAUGCUGAAAACAUCAGACGUUUCCGUGGAUAUUACAGGAGAGAUGGCAACAGAAUCAUUAAUGGAGGAUACCACUACAGAGGAGAGCACUAUGGUUACUGAAAUGGAGUGCACAGAUGACCAACUCCAGAUAAAAGAAACACAAGAGGAACUGGAAAGACAAUGAUUUGCUAAGGGACAAAAUACAAACUCAUCAGGCUCGUUACCCACUAACACCAGAGACUAUAAAUAACAGCAGUGUCCCUAACUACUUCAAAUACUGCACUGGGUUCACUUACGAUGAAUUUAAUAAUCUGUGCAGAUUUUUCAGACUACCAGAUAAUGAAACAGUCCCGCUAAAACACAUCCUCUUGAAAUAUGAUCAAUUGAACAGGCACAUCCACCAUAUGCCUUUACGUCAACAAUUUCUACUUGUACUUAUGAAACUAAGACAAAACUUCAACCUGAAGAGCUAGCUUUCAAAUUUCAAAUUGAUGUGCAAAGUGUUAAUACUUUAUUCGGUUAUUGGAUUGACUUCAUGUAUGGCAUGCUAGGUAAUCUGUCUGUUUGGCCACACAGGGACAUCAUCACAGAAAACAUGCCUGCAGAGUUUCCAACAACUUUUGCAAUUCUUGAUUGCACAGAGAUAAAGCUAGAGAAACCCAGCUCACUGUUAGACUUAUUCUAACUACAAGUCUACUAACACACUUAAGUCUUUAAUAGCCUGUGAUCCUCGUGGCUCCAUUAUGUUUGCAUCUACACUUUACACAGGAUCAAUUUCUGACCAGGAGCUAUUUAGACAGUGCAAAAUCAAAGAUUUACUGAAAGGUCUGCUUCAGUGUGGCUAUCUUAAGAGAGAUGAUGGGCUCAUGGUGGAUAAGGGAUUUCUCAUUGAGAAAGAUGUGAAGGAGCUUGGCCUUAAACUAAACAUUCCUCCGUUUACAAAGUCAAAUCUUCAAAUGCUAGUCCCAGAUGUUCAGAUAACAAAAAAAAAUUGCCGAACACAGAGAGCAUGUAGAAAGAGCAAUAGCCAAAGUCAGAAAAUUUAAGAUAGUAUCUGGUAGGAUCCCUAAUUCCACGUUAGGAAAUAUAAAUCAGAUAUGGUUUCUGGUGUGUAUGUUGUCUCAUUUCCAGCGACACAUCAUUCCAAAUUAAGGGACAGCAACGUGCUCCAGUUAAUUUGUGGCCAUGUUUUCUCUCUCCCUGUCACACAAGUUAUUAUAAUGAAUUUGCAUUUUGUAUCCAAUUUGUAACCUUUCAAUUGUUAUAUUGUGAAUGUUUUAUUUUGUAAUAAACUGUGGCUGGCAGCAAAUUAUAAUAAAUAAAUCUUAAUCUGUA